rnacentral:pre_miRNA from 1 species
CAAAUACUCCGUCUGUCCAACAAAAGAUGUCUCAAGUUUGUCAAAAUUUGGAUUUAUCUAGACAUGACUUAAUGUAUAGAUGCAUUCAAAUUUAGUCAAAGUUGAGACAUCCUUUUGUUAGACGGAGAAAGUAUUAU